rnacentral:rRNA from 1 species
GACGAACGCUGGCGGCGUGCUUAACACAUGCAAGUCGAACGGCAAGGCACUGCUUUCGUGGGGUGCCCGAGUGGCGAACGGGGGAGUAACACGAGUGUAACCUGCUCUAGACUUUGGGGGAACUUAAGGAAAGUGGGGUUAAUACAGGACAGCAGACGACGUAGGAUGGAGGGGGUUGGAAAGUCUCGGCGGUCGGGGAUGGACUGGCGGCUGAUGAGCUAGUUGGUGGGGGAGGGGCAGACCAAGGAUUUGACCGGUAGGCGGCCUGGGAGGGUGAACGGCCACAAUGGUACUGCGAGAGGGCCCAGUCGCCUACGGGGGGCAACAGGGGGGAAUAUUGCACAAUGAGCGGAAGCCUGAGGCAGCAACGCCGCGGGCGGGAUGACGGCCUUCUGGUUGUAAACCGCUUUCGCCUAUUACGAAGCGGUUGUGACGGUAAUGAGUAAAUAAGCACCGGCUAACUACGUG